UUAAGCACAGGGACACAUUUGAAGUCUCAGAGCCGGGUGUUGGUUCCGGUAGAGAUCGAGGGAAGUUAGUACCGAAGUCUGAGAUGGAAGAUGGCGAGAAAAGCUGUGUGUAUUUCUGAGGUGCCCGUACCGCAAACCGACACAGGUAGGUAGGAAGAAGAUUCUAAGGCCAACGGGAGAAGGGUUGUUAAGGAACUCGGCAAAUUGACCCCGUAACUUCGGGAGAAGGGGUGCUCCAGAGAUGGAGCCGCAGAGAAUCGGCCCAAGCAACUGUUUACCAAAAACACAGGUUAGUGCUAAAUCGAAAGAUGACGUAUACGAGCUGACGCCUGCCCGGUGCUGGAAGGUUAAGAGGAGAUGUGCAAGCAUUGAAUCGAAGCCCCAGUGAACGGCGGCCGUAACAAUAACGGUCCUAAGGUAGCGAAAUUCCUUGUCAGGUAAGUUCUGACCCGCAUGAAAGGCGUAAUGAUUUGGGCACUGUCUCAACAGCCCGCCCGGCGAAAUUGUAGUACCGGUGAAGAUGCCGGUUACCCGCGACAAGACGGAAAGACCCCAUGGAGCUUUACUGUAGCCUAAUAUUGGGUUUCGAUGUUGCAUGCACAGGAUAGAUGGGACACAGGGAAACAAUCGCUUUGGCGGUUGCGGAGUGGCCGUUGGGAUACCAUCCUUGCGAUAUUGGAAUUCUAACCUGCGGCUCUGAAUCGAGUCGGGGGACAUUGUUAGGUGGGCAGUUUGACUGGGGCGGUCGCCUCCUAAAAAGUAACGGAGGCGUUCAAAGGUUCGCUCAGCUUGAACGGAAAUCAAGCAAAAGAGUGCAAACGCAGAAGCGAGCCUAACUGCGAGACUGACGGGUCGAGCAGUAACGAAAGUUGGAGUUAGUGAUCCGGUGGUAUGUGAGUGGAAAUGCCAUCGCUCAACGGAUAAAAGUUACCCUGGGGAUAACAGGCUGAUCUCCCCCAAGAGUCCACAUCGACGGGGAGGUUUGGCACCUCGAUGUCGGCUCAUCGCAUCCUGGGGCUGUAUUCGGUCCCAAGGGUUUGGCUGUUCGCCAAUUAAAGCGGUACGCGAGCUGGGUUCAGAACGUCGUGAGACAGUUCGGUCCCUAUCUGUCGUGGGCGCAGGAUAUUUGAUGGGAGCUGUCCCUAGUACGAGAGGACCGGGACGGACGUACCUCUGGCGCACCAGUUGUUCCGCCAGGAGCAUAGCUGGGCAACUACGUACGGAUCGGAUAAACGCUGAAAGCAUCUAAGCGUGAAGCCGACCCAAAGAUAAGAUAUCCCACUGAUUAGAUCAGGUAAGAUCCCUUGAAGACUACAAGGUUGAUAGGCACGAUGUGUAAGUGGAGUGAUCCAUUCAGCAAGAGUGUACUAAUAGAUCGAGGGCUUGAUC
rnacentral:rRNA from 1 species